rnacentral:rRNA from 1 species
GACUAUGACCACAUCAUCCUGAGUAUGCCCGAUCUCAUCUGAUUUUGGAAGCUAAACAGGGUCAGGCCUGGUUAGUACUAUACAGCCUGGCUAGCUCAGUUGGUCGUGCAUGAGACUUACUUUCAGGGUCAUUGGUU